rnacentral:rRNA from 1 species
CAGCCGCCGCGGUAAUUCGUAGGGAGCAAGCGUUGUUCGGAAUUAUUGGGCGUAAAGAGCGCGUAGGCGGUUCGGUAAGUCUGACGUGAAAUCCCGGAGCUUAACUCCGGAACUGCGUUGGAUACUGCCGGGCUUGAGUGUGGGAGAGGAGAGUGGAAUUCCCAGUGUAGAGGUGAAAUUCGUAGAUAUUGGGAGGAACACCCGUGGCGAAGGCGGCUGCCUGGACCGAUAUUGACGCUGAGACGCGAAAGCGUGGGUAGCAAACAGGAUUAGAUACCCUGGUAGUCCACGCCGUAAACGAUGAGAACUAGGUGUUGCGGGUAUUGACCCCUGCAGUGCCGUAGCUAACGCAUUAAGUUCUCCGCCUGGGAAGUACGGUCGCAAGACUAAAACUCAAAGGAAUUGACGG